UUACAGCCAUAUCAGGUUGAAACACCAGUUCUCAUACAAUCACCAAAGGUAAGCAACAUUGAGCCUGGUCAGUACCUAGUGGGUGAGUACUUAGGAAUACCAGGUGCUAUA